AAGUAGAUUCCCAACAGCAACCACCUCUCGCCUCUCUUCUCCAACCGAACAAGCGAUGGCAACGGCAAUGACUACUCCCUUAGGUAGUUAGGCUGCUUCUCUGCUUCUUCCCUUCCGUUCACUCUUUUAUAAAUCAUAACAUGUCGACCCUUUUUUCAAUCCUAACUGCACUGUCGCGUCGGCCACUUUCACGACAGUGCGUUAGUUGCACCUCCGGCCAGCCACCUACUCCCAGUAAAGGAGAAGUGAAGAUUGUUUCUCUAGCUGCUCCAACUCUUCUUAAAUCUCCAAAAUCUAAAGGAAAAGGCAAAAAUGGUGAUGUCCCAAGUGAAAUAUGAGGCCUUACACGAGCAAAGAUUGGAAGAGAACAAGAAAAGACUUGAAGAACUCAAUCUCUCUCAGCUCUCUAUCGCCCUCAAGAACUCAUCAUCUCCCAAACCCUCACUGGUAUCUCUCUAACGUGCACUUAUUUGACUUACAAAGAAGUGUAGUGGCUCUCUUUUUAGGCCUUUUUGUAACUCUGCCAGAAGGUAAGAUCCUAGCAAAUUGUGUUUAAAAAUUUCUAGCGCAUUAAUUUAAUUUGUUAUCAAUGCAAUUAUUGUGUAGAACAUGUUCUUUAUUAGGUUAAUGCAUUUGUAGAGUUACCAAUCGGACCCGGAACCUCUCGAACCGGGUGUAUGCAUCAGAUGAAUAUAGAGAAUGUUCUAUAAAGAAAGCAGAGGAGCUUGAGUCAAGCCUAGAGUCUGACUAUCCAUCCUUUGUGAAGUCAAUGUUUCCUUCCUAUGUCACUGCUGGUUUUUGGCUGGUGAGCAUCAUCAGAUUACUGUACUCUGUUUUUCGAAGUGAACGUUACUUCAAAUAUAUUACUUUUGGAUUAGGCUGCAGACGAAGAGUAUAUUGUUGAUCCAUUAUUUUAAACUUUGAUGUAGACUGACUUAAAAAAGCUAUUUUAGAAACCCCCUCCGGUGAAAAUUGUGUGUUUUUUGGAUUUAGAAGCAAUCUAAAAUCUCCCAAGUGUUUUGCUUAAAUUAUUUAUUAGGACUGAUUUUUUUGUGCUGAUUUUUUUCUUCAGGUGGUAUUGGGGCUUCAUAGCUUAAGGAAAUCUCUUUUUGGUGUAAGUUUCCUUUUUCUUCUCUUUCUAUUUGCAUCUAUGUAUAAAAUGGCUGCUAUUUCAUUUUCGACAAAGCAAAUGCCCACAAUAAAGUUGUGCUAUUUGUUCCACCAGUGUUCUGGAAAUCUGGUGCAAACUAUUAGUUUAUUUAUGAAUUUGAAUCUCUACAUGGCUUUCUUUGAAUUAAAACUAGCCACUGCUUCAGCAAUAGCUAGUGGUACUUUUUUUCUUUUUCUUUUUUCAAAUUUUCUUCAAAUUUAUUUAACCUUCAAAUGUGCAGACGAUUAUUGUUCUUAAACAACAAUUUGGAAAAAGAGAUGCACCUGCUAAUGUGCUCACUGUUGAUUAGUAAUCUUUCACACUUCCUGCAUCUUUUUCUUCUAUCAUUGAUUUAACCAAAUUUUGACACAUACUACUAGAGUUGGUUACUUUAUCAAGCUUGAGUAUAAAUCAUAUUAAUUAUAACCACAUCAUAGAUAAUUCAGAAUGGAAUGGACCACCAUAGUUGUGGCCAAGUGCCUGGCAUAGGAUAUUUCCAAAUUUUGGGGCAGCACUGAGUACUGAAGUGCAUUAUCCUACUUGACAUAUUGGUGUUUCAUGCAGUCAUGCUUUGCUAAUAUUAUGUGUAUUUUGUUGGCCCAUCUUCUUUAUGAUUUUUUUAUUUUGGAACUUCCUUGUUCGUCUGCAUACACUCCGUGCCCUUCCAAAAGGAAAAGAAAAGGAUGUUUUUCUAGUAUAUUAUCACACAUUCACUGCAUUUGGUUGUGCUAGUUUUUGUGUUCUGGAUGAAAGUUAUACUAUGCUCAAAUUUAGUUAUAUUAAAAUUGUAAUGUCUCUUUGGUUGUAACCAAUUUUAUUUCUAUUUGGUCAAUCUUAAAUAAUGGCAAGUUUACCAGCUUUAUUUCUAUUUACAUUCAUUAAAAUUGAAAUAGCACAUAUCUAUGUUUCCUUUGUGAAAAUAAUGGCAAGUUUACCAGAUUGGAGGAACUAUUUUCUCUUCGGAUGCGUAAUGUGCAGAUGAAAUCUCUUCUUAAUUGACCACGCUAUUUGAAUGUGGUGGGUUGAUUCUUGGAAAAAUACAUGAAGCAUUUAAAAGACAUUGUGUCUAAAGUCUUUAUAUUGUGCCUAAAGUGCUUGAGAAGUGAAUUCGAAUAAAUCAUUGAUAAUAGCUGACAGAUGAGAGGAUGAAUACAGCUCAUCAUCACUUUUGUUGCUAAAAAUGUUUCGAAGUAGAAAAGGAGAAAUAGAAAAAUACCCCUUCAUUAUUCACUAUUUCAUAUUUAUUGCAAAUAAGUUAAAUUCUAGUUGCAUAUGGAGGGUCUGUGUAAACUUGUCAACUUAUAUUUUUAUAUAAACUAACUUGGUAUGUAUCUAUUUCACAUUUGUUUCAACAUUGAUAAUUUUAUAUUAACUAACUUGGUUUAUGCUACAUAUUAAAAGUAGCAUAAUGUACUUUUUUGUUUCAUGUAAGUCAUUGUUCAAUAGGUUUUGUCCAUUUAAGUGUUAUUUAUCAUAUUUCCUGAAAUAGUUACUGAAGUUCAUUUGGUUAUAGUUAAAAGUGGGAUACAUGGAAGAGUAAAAAUUAAAAACCUCUUCUUUACUUUUUGUGGAAUUAAUUAGUUGCAUUGUUAAGAGGAAAUACAGUUGUAAAAAAAAUUAAUUUACUCGCUUCUUUGGUCUCCGUACAUGCAUAAAUUUAUAUUUUAUGUUCUCAGGCUUGCCAUUUGAUUAAUUGCUCAAUUUCUUCAAUGCCUCAAAAAUAGUUCCGUUAUUAAGGAAAAGUGCUCGUGAUUGAUGUUAUAUGGUUCGAGUACUUUAAGGCUUUGGACAAUGGAGUUUUGUCGAAAAAUAAGCCGGUGGUUGUUAAGGCUAAGCUCGUGUGAAAGAUUGCUUAAAAGAAAAUUAUGGAAGCCGAUGAGGUUGUUUUACUCAUUGUUGUGUUUGUUGUUGUAGUUGUUUUUUUUUUUUUUUUAAAUGUAUUAGAUUUUUAGGUGCUUUAGAAUUUUGGAUUUGAAUUUUGUACAAAUAUUGUUACUUUUUGG
rnacentral:lncRNA from 1 species